rnacentral:rRNA from 1 species
UGUAAGCGUAUACCAAAGUUGUUGCAGUUAAAACGCUCGUAGUCGGAAUUUGGCAGUUCCGGAUGUGUGCACGUCGUGUGCGCACUUCGCGGGGAUUGCUUUUGUGGUCUUGCGUAGGAUGAGGCACUUUUAUUAGUGAACGUCCUCACGCAACCACUUUUUACUGUGAGAAAAUCAGAGUGCUCAAAGCAGGCAUUUGCCGUGAAUGUAUUAGCAUGGAAUAAUAGAAUAGGUCUUGGUUCUAUUUUGUUGGUUUGUUGGGACUGAGUAAUGAUUAAGAGGGACAGUUGGGGGCAUUUGUAUUUCGGUGCUAGAGGUGAAAUUCUUAGAUUACCGAAAGACAAACUGCUGCGAAAGCGUCUGCCAAGGAUGUUUUCAUUGA